GGCCUAGGGUAUUCGGUUACCUAGUAAGGCGACCUUGAGUGAACUAAAGGGCACUAAACAAAUACAAUGUGUUAUUACAUUAGCAGUGAGAUGCUCUCUGAUUGUGCUUUUUCUCAAGCACUCCUUGCCGGCUAGACUGUUAUCAGCCAGGAAAGUUGGAGUGUAUAAAAACAGCGAGACAGGUCGGUGCCCGGCCACACCGCUACAGAGAAAACCAGUGCAACACCAUGACGUGGACAGCAGGGAAGUGGACGCUCUUUGUGGGCCUGAUGUCCAUCUUACUGGGCAGCCUGGAGCGAGCGGAAACCGCUGCAGUUAUCACCUCGUCCGGCAAUCGUACCGACAACGUAACUGCAGCAACAAAGUCUCCCAAAACGACCCAGGCCAGUAGAAAUGUGACCAGCGCCACGACGACCAGCGAAACAGCUGCAGUUAUCACCUCGUCCGGCAAUCAUACCGGCAACACAACUGCAGCAACAAAGUCUCCCAAAACCACCCAGGCCAGUAGAAUUGUGACCAGCGCCACGAGACCAGAGUCUCCCGGGAUCACCAAUGCCACAACAAAGGGUACCAGUACCCGCCCCCCCAAUCCACCCCCCACGAUCAAAACCGGCAGAUGUUGCACAAAGACCAAACCACCCAGCGGCUCGACGUCCUCGUUGGGGUCACAUGACCAACUGCUGCCGCUGGUCGUUUCCAUGGUGAUCGGACUGAUGGCGAACUGAUUGUUCGAAGCUUCUGAGGGUCCUUUGUUUCAUCGCGAGUAAUUAUUUGCUGAAGCCCACUUGAGGCCCGAGGAUGACGGCCGUCGGCCAUACUGCCAAAUCCAAAGGUAUACACGGUACGAACCACCGCCCGAAUGAAGAAUAGGAUUCUUAUUAUAACGCAUUCAAAUAAAGAACCACAAAUCCCUUUAAUCUGUGUUUGAUUGGCCUCUUUGUAAACUUGUAGGAGUCACCGUCAUCAUCAUCAUCAUCAUCAUCAUCAUCAUCAUCAUCAUCAUCAUCAUCAUCAUGCCCAUAGUCAAGAAAGCUUAACUGAAUCGACAUUCCUACAUCCAUACUAUAACAGGAAGCAUUGACUGUACCGUGUAAAAAGAUAAUGUAAUUGGAAGAACUACAUGUAAUAAUAUUGUCAUUACCAAACGUACAUUAGGUCAACAGUCGUUUUGGUUCUUGCGCUUGAUUGUCAAUUCUUUGUUUUCAAUCUCAUCUCAUCCAACGUCUAGCAUAUGGUGAGCAGCUGUUGUACUCAACACAUUGACCAAGCAGGGCGAUCCCUGUCAGAAAUAUGGCAAUAACUUAGUUUAGGUAAAUUUUACACCGUAUUUGCAUUUCAUUUGUUUUCACGCACAAGCCGGAAAGUUGUAAAAACUUUGAUUUGAGUAUGGCUACCAUUAACAUGGAGUAUAUGCUCGGGUUAGGGUUAGGUGGACGUAAGUCAUAAACAGUGGUAGAUUGACAGGUAGAUUCAACAUUACACAUGAUAUCUUCGGUUCAUGUAAAUCUAAAGUGGUUGUGCUCAUGGGAUUAAACUAAGGAACAAAAGGUAUCCUAUAAUCAGUAAAGUUAUGUCAGUAAAUAUAAGUGCGUUGUGUGGCAAUUGACUUGCCUCUGAAAUAAAUGAUAAGACAAUGAGGCUACCAUAAAAUAAAAUAUACUGAGACUACUGAGACAUACAUCCUGACAAGCACAGACAGAUAGAUACACACACAAAAAAUAUAACAAGAUGAAUAGAUAGUAUUUUCGUCAAAAUAUUUGACACAAACGAUGAAUCCAUAAAUCGUCCUCAUUGCUCUUCCAUGACGAGAGUGGGAUGCUCUGAUUGGUUGUCUGGGUCACUUUGCAUCACGGGGUGGGGAUAGAUCCUGGACCACCUGUGUUCGUCAUAUUGGGAGUCGAAAGGCUAUAAAAGCCCUCAGCAAACAGAUAAGAAACACAAUAGUUUCAAACUGCCCAGCUUCACAUGCACACGCGCACAUGAACACAAAUCCUGUGACCACUGGUACCCAAAGGCGGAGAAGCACCUGAACGCUGAGGAUAAAUCAGGGGAAGGAGAUUCCACUAUUUCAUUUUCAUCUUCUUCAUCAUCAUCAUCAUAUUCAUCACCUUCAGAGCCAUGUUCCUGUCAUUUUGGCUAUGCUCAUUGGCUCUUCUGGCGCAGUCUUUGUCAUCAGUAUCCUCAGAAGCAACUACACAGAGCGACAACAUGACCACCGCCGUGUCCUCCAAAACUACUCCAACGACAACUCAUGCUACCGAAACGGCUGGGGCUAACCUAACGGCUGGGGCUAACCAAACGGCUGGGGCUACCGAAACGGCUGGGGCUAACCAAACAGCUGGGGCUAACCAAACGGCUGGGCCAACCCAAAUGACUUCUGCGGCAACCCAAAUGACAUCUGCAGUUGCCCUUACCACGUUUGGGGCGAGCAGAACGACGACUGGGGCGAGCAGAACGACGACAGUAGCAGCCAAUCCAGGCCCUGUGGCCACCGGAAUGACGACAACUAACGGACACAGCCGCCUCAUCGGCUCGCUGAUCCUGUUCCUGGGUUCAGUUUCUUUGGCAGUGAUUGACCACUAGAGAUCGCUGUUUCUUCAUCCGCUUUGGCAGCACGUCUUUAUUGCCUUUUGUAGCCAAUGAAAAGUGUCGGACCACUACGACUCUUGAGGAUUAAGGGGGUAAAAAAGAAAAAUCGAAGAACAAACUCAUGAUUAGGGUAUGUUGUACAGUUUACGGUACUAAAGCUGACCAAAGGGAAUGCAAAUUAAGAUGAGCAUAUGUAUACUCGACUAUUUAAACUUGGCCACUUAGUGCUUUCCUAUUGAAUGAAUUAAGCUGUUAAAUUCCACCUCUUUACUAAGCUUUAGUGUGUGUUACCUGUAGUGUAUAGAAAAUAAAGUGUAACAUGUUGGAUGGAAAAUAAAUUAUUUGAGGAAAUAGAUUUCAAAACAUGGUUUUGUAUGAUUGGGAGUAGUUUAAUUCGAUGUGGAUAUCAUUAUUUUAUGAAAGCCCUUCAGACUGACAAUAAGAACCGCCAAAGAAAACGCCCAGGCAAAACUAAUGAUUCGAUUUUAGUUGAGGAAAUAUAAAAAAAUAUGGAGACUUCACAGUUCAUGCAAAUCUAUCAAAAGGAGAAAUUGUGCAAAUCUGGCUCCGAAACGAUAUUACUAUAUCGAAGAGUUCUGAAAGGUCUCAUACAACAUAAAGCUCCUCAAUACAAACAGAGGAGCUUUUUGCCUAAUGCAGAAUGCAUAAGGCAUUCUGCCUAAUGCAACAAACAAUGUAAUCGUCAUCAUUCAGUGAGGUGCGGUGCGCAUGACUUCACUCUGACAUCACGAGGGCAUGGGAUGAUUGUGUGUGGAAGCUGAUGCGAAGAAAGGUAAGAAGUCGGGUUCACGUGCAGAAGAGGUCGGGAACUCGUGCUGUGAACUUAUCUCACAGACACGUUAUCAUGGAGGGAUUAUUCGUUGACCAACAUAAAGCAAUGUGCUGGUUAGCUUGUUAGUCAGUUUCUCUUAUUUCUGGUGUUUGCUGGUAUUCCUCCUUGGUAUUUGAGAUCCUCAGGAUUAUGAAGGCAGGCGUCCUGUUGCCUCUUUAUCUGAUACAGUGGUCAACACCACCACCGGAGGGGGGGGGGGGGGGGGGUGCUUGGCACCUGUCGGCCCAAGGGAUAAUGUGGUGCCUCUCAUACAGAUAAAUAACAUGACACAAUGAGGUUAACAUGAACCUAAAUAAAUACCUGCCUCUUCGACCAUGAAUUUAAACUUGUUUCAAGACAUAAUGGAAAGGUGGAAUUGUGAGACAUUUUGAAUAAUUUCUGGUAUAAAAUAAAAAUGUGCUGAACCUGUAUGGUAAUUAUUGAUUCCCUGAUUACUCUUUGACUGAAAACAACUGCAAGUGUAUCUCUUACAACAAUGUAACCUUGUAGUUCUUAUUAUUUGCAUUGUUUUAAUUUUUUUCAAAGGAGACACUCCAAACAGGGUCGCGGGUCAACGGUUUUAACUGGUUCACCUCUCGUGUUAAAAAGGUAAAACAAAAGACAACAUAAACUCUUCCUCUUAUGGGGUAAAAAGGGGCCUUCUCUCCUCUCGUUUUCUACAUUUCUUUUUAGUACCAGUAUGUUCGGGUUCCUGUAUGGCUACAGUACUGACUUUGAGAUGUGAUAUGGUUACGUUGCUGUGUUUCAACAGGUUUCUUGAAAUGGGGACAUUACUCUUUGUAGUAGGGGAAGACUGUAAUAAAAAAAGACAGUUUAAUUUUGAGUUGCAUUGUACUGUUGGGAUUGAUUCCGGCCCAACUUUUGUUUUGGGGGGACAGUUGAGUGGGGUGAGCAUUUCGCCGAGCACAUGAGGUACUGUGUUGCCGUGUUGGUCUUAAUUAAAGAAGAGAAUAACACCGGCAACGGUAUUCAUUAUAUAGUGUAACCCCCACGUUCCCACAGUCCCGGAGUGACCGGGGGAAGCUACCUGAGCAGACAUAAGGGUUAUAAACUACAACGGGCGCUCCCGAACCUCACAACAGACAGACAUCAGCGCGGCGCUGCCCAGAAUACUGCCUCUAUGCUGCUGAUCUGUCCAGCUGAUCUAAUUGUCAUUAUGUUCUAGGAUGUUCUAGGAAAAAUAAUGAUUAUUAUUUAAAUUAAUCCCUUUUGGAUAGAAAAUGGAUGUGAAAAAGCUUUGGGUUAUUAAGAAAACUAUGAGAAAAAAUGUAACAACAUAACAAAAACAACAUGAAAAUGUACAAUAAAUGUUUGAGUUGACAGCAUAUUUACGUGUUAAAGGCCAAUAUAAUUGAUAGCUCUAUAAUAAUACCAAUUAUUAAUGUUUCUUCUAUGAGCUAUUUUCUGUACUCGGUCCAAAAGGUAUUGUCUUUUUUAGAAAAAACAUUGUUGGAAGUUACUUUGCGAAUUGAGAUUUCAACAUGUCAAAUGCCAAAAAACAUGUUAAAGAUAGGCCUACGUUUGUCAAGUU